AAGGAUCAUUACCUAGAGUUUGCGGGCUUUGCCUGCUAUCUCUUACCCAUGUCUUUUGAGUACUUACGUUUCCUCGGUGGGUUCGCCCGCCGAUUGGACAAUUUAAACCCUUUGCAGUUGCAAUCAGCGUCUGAAAAAAAUUAAUAAUUACAACUUUCAACAACGGAUCUCUUGGUUCUGGCAUCGAUGAAGAACGCAGCGAAAUGCGAUAAGUAGUGUGAAUUGCAGAAUUCAGUGAAUCAUCGAAUCUUUGAACGCACAUUGCGCCCCUUGGUAUUCCAUGGGGCAUGCCUGUUCGAGCGUCAUUUGUACCUUCAAGCUCUGCUUGGUGUUGGGUGUUUGUCUCGCCUUUGCGUGUAGACUCGCCUCAAAACAAUUGGCAGCCGGCGUAUUGAUUUCGGAGCGCAGUACAUCUCGCGCUUUGCACUCAUAACGACGACGUCCAAAAGUACAUUUUUACACUCUUGACCUCGGAUCAGGUAGGGAUACCCGCUGAACUUAA
rnacentral:rRNA from 1 species